rnacentral:rRNA from 1 species
AGAGUUUGAUCCUGGCUCAGAACGAACACUGGCGGCGUGGAUUAGGCAUGCAAGUCGAACGGGAAAGCUCCCUUCGGGGAGUGAGUAUAGUGGCGAACGGGUGAGUAACGCGUGGGAAACCUGCCCUUUGGUGGGGGAUAACAGUCCUAACGGGCUGCUAAUACCGCAUACGACCUUCUGGACUCCUGUCCGGGAGGAGAAAGGUGGCCUCUUCAUGAAAGCUGCCGCUGAAGGAUGGUCCCGCGUCCCAUUAGCUUGUUGGUGGGGUAAUGGCCUACCAAGGCGACGAUGGGUAGCCGGCCUGAGAGGGUGUCCGGCCACACUGGGACUGAGAUACGGCCCAGACUCCUACGGGAGGCAGCAGUCGAGAAGCUUCGGCAAUGGGCGAAAGCCUGACCGAGCGACGCCGCGUGAGCGAUGAAGGUCUUAUAGAUUGUAAAGCUCUGUCAGAUUGGGAAGAAAACUCCGGGAUUAAUACCCUCGGAGCUUGACGGUACCAUCAGAGGAAGCACCGGCUAACUCCGUGCCAGCAGCCGCGGUAAUACGGAGGGUGCAAGCGUUGUUCGGAUUCACUGGGUAUAAAGGGUGCGCAGGCGGCCUGAUAAGUCAGGGGUGAAAUAUGUCGGCUUAACCGGCAAACUGCCUCUGAAACUGUCAGGCUUGAGUCCGGGAGAGGAAGGUGGAAUUCCUGGUGUAGCGGUGAAAUGCGUAAAUAUCAGGAGGAACACCGGUGGCGAAGGCGGCCUUCUGGCCCGGUACUGACGCUCAGGCACGAAAGCAUGGGGAGCGAACGGGAUUAGAUACCCCGGUAGUCCAUGCCGUAAACGAUGGGCACUAGGUGUUGGAGGAGUCUACCCCUUCAGUGCCGCAGCUAACGCAUUAAGUGCCCCACCUGGGGAGUACGAUCGCAAGGUUGAAACUCAAAGGAAUUGACGGGGGCCCGCACAAGCGGUGGAGCAUGUGGUUUAAUUCGAUGCAACGCGAAGAACCUUACCUGGACUUGACAUGCAGGAGACAGGUGUAGAAAUACACCCUCCUUCGGGUUCCUGCACAGGUGCUGCAUGGCUGUCGUC